AGGGGGCUGGAAUAUGGCCCUGCUUCCUGGGCACGUCUGCUGUCCCUGUCUUGCAGCACGGAGGGCAGUGGCGCUGCCCCAGCCCCUGGCUGUGUCGGGGCGGGCUGCAGAGGGGUAGAGGGCAAUGCCCUGGCAGGUGCAAGGAGUCGUGCUGCGUUGCCAGCUGGCCUGCCACCUCUCCUGCGACCUGGUGUUGCUCCCAGGUCGUGGGGCUGUUUAUAUGACAGCCUCCGCUUUCCUUCGCAGCACAAGCCUCUUCUACCUGGAGUUGCAGAGAAAGACUGGAAGCAGAGCUCUACAGUCUUGUGUCUACGUACGAUAGCAUUCCUAAACCAUGGACAGAAGAACAGGAUACCCCAGGACAACAGCUGCCACAAGAGCUAUGAUGAAAUAAAGCAACACCUUGAACUGAAAUAAGUUUGCCAUAAACUGAGUAGUUUACCCUGGAUUGGAACUAUACCCUACUCAAGCACAUCUGCACUGUGAUUGCAGUUUUACAGAUGAAGAAACUGAGGCAUGGAUAGGUUAACUGGCCUUCCCAACAGCACACAGGUACCCCAUGGCAAAAUGAGGACUAAAAUCUGGACCUCUGACUCCCGAUCUGGUGUUUUAGCCACAAAAGAAAGUUCAUCGGAAGUUUAAUUACAUUUAUUGAACCUCCUAAAUUUACAACAUUAAAAAGGAAAAAU